rnacentral:rRNA from 1 species
UACGGAGGAUCCAAGCGUUAUCCGGAUUUAUUGGGUUUAAAGGGUGCGUAGGCGGCCUGUUAAGUCAGGGGUGGAAGACGGUAGCUCAACUAUCGCAGUGCCCUUGAUACUGAUGGGCUUGAAUGGACUAGAGGUAGGCGGAAUGAGACAAGUAGCGGUGAAAUGCAUAGAUAUGUCUCAGAACACCGAUUGCGAAGGCAGCUUACUAUGCGAUGAUUGACGCUGAGGCACGAAAGCGUGGGGAGCAAACAGG